UGGAGAGCGUGGCGUGUGCUGGCAGACAAAACGCAGAGCAGAAGAGGAGAUGUAAGCUGGAGAGAGCUGCAGGACGCUGCUCGAUGAGAGCAGCGGAGUGUUACUGGAGAGCGGGUGUUGAGAUGCCGCAGCCAGAGGACCGGACACCGCCAGGCCUGGUAAUGGGUGCGGAUGCCAUGGCCAUCUUGAGAGUGACGAGCCAUUACAGUGGGAACAGCCAACUUGAAAUUCCGUUUCCUGGAUCUGAUACCUCUUUGAGCACAGUACUACGAGACAAGGUACGAGGAACAACAUUUCAUGGGAAAGGACCAAAGGUUGUGAAGAAGAGUGGCUGAGAAGUAUCCACAUUUUGGACACAUGCCUGUCUCCUCAGGAAUAAAAUUACUCCUUCGGCUUUCAGAAAUAUGUGCGCUAUAAAUGAUAUUGAUAUGAAGCUCUUGAAGUGUUG